rnacentral:rRNA from 1 species
GUAGUCUCGCACAGAUGCAUAUCAAUAAGCGGAGGAAAAGAAACUAACAAGGAUUCCCUCAGUAACGGCGAGUGAAGCGGGAAGAGCUCAAAUUUGAAAUCUUGAAAGGUCACCUUUCACGAAUUGUAGUUUAAAGAAGUGUUUUCUGUUACGAUCGUAAUAUAAGUUCUUUGGAAUAGGACAUCACAGAGGGUGAGAAUCCCGUCUAUGACAUUCGAUUUUAGCUUUGUGAUACACUUUCAAAGAGUCGGGUUGUUUGGGAAUGCAGCCCAAAACGGGAGGUAAAUUUCUUCUAAGGCUAAAUAUUGGCGAGAGACCGAUAGCGAACAAGUACCGUGAGGGAAAGAUGAAAAGAACUUUGAAAAGAGAGUUAAAUAGUACGUGAAAUUGUCAAAAGGGAAGCGUUUAACACCAGUGUUGUUUUCUGAAAAUCAACCUCUGUUAGCUUUAUGCAUGUUUGUUUAGACCUAAUCAGCUAUCUUGCAUGUUCUAUUGUUUGCAGUGGUGCACUUUUCAGUUUACAGGUCCAACAUCAGUUUUUUUUACCGUAAAAAAGUUAAAGAAAGGUAGCUCAUGGCUCCGGUCGUGAGUGUUAUAGUCUUUUUCCUAUGCGGUAGGAGAGACUGAGGUCUGCAGUGUAGGCUAUUUGGCUAGAUACUCAGGUGCUAUGUGAUACCAUUUCAUAAACAACUUGUUGAUUAUGUUUUGUCUAUUGCAUACUCGCUUGUACUAUCAUACCUACGCUUAGGAUGUUGAGUCGUAGAGCACGCAG